CUAAAAAUCUCACCAUACGAACCCUAGUUAAUCAUGGUCUAAGUCUCACCGAUCUUCUUCUCUUUCUUUCCCUCUCCACGUUUCUUUGAUUUUAAUCUUAUCAUUGUUUUUCAAUCUUAUUUGUUUCGAUUCGCUUCCUCACAUUCUCAGAUUUGAUCUCUAACCACCGUUGAUUGAAGCUUCACCACCACACUCCUUUUGACACCGUGUCACCAGCACCACCACCACCAUCGCUUCUUAGAUCCGUCUUCACCAGAGUCGCCACCACCACACGCUCAUCAUAAUCACCAUUCAGCUCUCUGUCUCUCACUUCUGUUUCUUGUUCUCUCUACAUCGAGAAAGAAGCACGAGGCGCUCACCAGUGGCAGUUCUUUUACCACAUCUAAAAGCAUUGCUUCAGGUCUGGUGUUUUGGCUGGUAAAUCUGCUAGAGCUUAAGUGAUUGAUGUUCUUUCUCUGCCUAAACAAACGCAUCUAUUUCUUCUCCGUGAAAAGACUUUGCGUUGCGCGUUUCCCGGGAUAGAGAACAGUUUAUCAAAGGAUUUGGCCGUGGCUCUAAAUGACUCGGAAUUCCUACAGUGGUGGGUUUUUUAAGCGAGAAGGGAUCACUUUCGGGCACUAAGGCAAAGAAUGGAGAGCGGUAAAAAGACAGUUCGCACAUCAUAACGGGGGAACUGCUUUUGUAUUCUCCAUUCAUCAUGCAAUCACAAUCAUAAAGUGGUUCAGGUUUAAAAUUAAUAAAUUAUUUAUGAACCACUAGUGGUUCAAAUCUGUGAACAAAAAAUAUGGUUCGCAAUGUACAGUAACAAUUCAGCAUAUUUGGAGUGU